AUAAAAGAAGUUGUGCAGAAUCUGGAGUAGCAAAGAAUGCAAAUCCAGCCCUUCCUCUUCACAACUUCAGAGAGCACACUCCUGGGAGAUGCCUACUUGCCCUUUAACUGCAGCUCUGUAUAAACAAAAUCAAGGCCAUCUCACUCAAUGUUACUGACCAGUGGCAGCAAAGAACUAUAGAACAAACAGUGGUGAGAUGAUAGAAGUCAUGCAAGACCCCAGCAGAAAGAUUCCAGCAAACGUGAGACAAUUAACAUCACAAUAUGCAGCCACUUCUCUACAUCUUGACUUGUCUGAAAUAAAAUUUCAUCAACGUUCAAAAAUGCUUUUCUGCAAACUGUCCUGAACAAAAUAGAGGGACAAGUUUUGUUCAUGCUCUGGAUCCUGAAGUCACAUCCAACUCUCACAAAAUGAAUGAUAUUUUCUCUCUCAAAUCAAGCUUAAACAGUGAUUAUGAAGUUUUGAGGUGACUUGUGCUGCCCACAAUACUUGCAGGUAACUUUCAGACAUGUCUUUCUUCUGAAAAGAAAUUAAGGUAAAUCUACCUUACUUCUAUUGAGUUCAUAUCACUUUUCCGUAUAUUUUUUGUUCCUCUUAAGUAGCUUCUGAGGCUGAACUGUGGAUAAACUACACUGAUUACAGCUUCAGUAAUGUCUCAGUACACCCCUAUCAGUCAAACACCUUUUGCUUCUUCUUUUGUUGGGUUAUCACUAUGUUAUUUUAAAAUAUUAGAUAGAUAGAUUAGAUAGAUAGAUAGAUGAUAGAUAGAUAGAUAGAUAGAUAUUUUUCCAGUUUAUUAAUGACAGAUGUUUCACAAGGAUUUGAAUUUUAACUUCCUUCAUGCUUUCAUAAGACUAUGUUUCCAGAUGGAUGUUUCUGAAUUGUAUCUACUUUACAUACUACAGUUUGCUUCUCUUUAGUUUACAUGCCAAGAUGCACAAUUUAGACUUCUGAAUCCAGCAAUAUAAAUAUAUAAAUGAUCAUUUCCCUGAGGUUUGCUUAACAUUGCUUAACAUACCUUAAUAAGCUAAGUGAUUUUUUUUUUUAUUAUUUUUUUAUUUUUUUACCACCAAGUAUUCUUACGUGGUUAAAUGCAAUGGCCUGCAGAGAGAUUUUAGCUUUAAAAAUAAUAUUCCUAGUACCGGAAGUAUAUUGCUCUCACAUUUUUGCACAGCUCUAACUAAACAAGUUAGCUUUGCUUCUGAAGUAUUUUCUCUACAAAAUACAGUGGAUAGGACCAAAGAUUUUUGAUGGAGUUGAAUUGUUUCUGGUAGAUGCACAUAUAAAAUCAAAGACUCUUCAAAGUGCAGAUAUUCUGGUUAAGAAAAGUGCAAUUAAAAUGAGUUGAUCGGUUAAUCUCCUCCUUUCUAACAGAUUAAAAUCUCCUUUUCUAACAGAUAAAAAUCAAUCAAUUCCUUUCUCUCACAUCAUUUAUAAUUUAGCAUAAUACAUAUGCAUUUUUUCUUUCCCUAUAUAAUUUUAAUGCUUUGUUUUGCUUAUAUUCUACAGUCCCACAAAUUGUACUUUCUCAUACUUAGAGUAAAUUUUGCUCUUGCCAUGGAUUGGGAAAAAUCUGUAGUAAUUACAUAUGUAAAAAUUGAGAAAUAAACAUUGUUAUACAUGUUUUCAGUGUUUGGAUGAAAUCUUGACCCCUAUAGAACUAAAUCUUGUCCCAUAUAGAACUAAAUGAGAUACUUAACUUUGACUUUUAUGAGGAUAGAAGGGACCUUUAUUUGACUACCAUGGUAAAUUUAUAAAAAAGAAAAACAAAACAAAAUAAAACAAAACUAGAAAAUCUCUUACUUCUCAUUUUGAUUAAAGAUGUGCAAUU